rnacentral:rRNA from 1 species
UACGUAGGUGGCAAGCGUUGUCCGGAAUUACUGGGCGUAAAGAAUGCGUAGGCGGCUUUUUAAGUGGGAUGUGAAAUCCCUGGGCUCAACCCAGGAACUGCAUUCCAAACUGGAAAGCUAGAGUGUGGGAGAGGAAAAUGGUAUUCCCAGUGUAGCGGUGAAAUGCGUAGAGAUUGGGAGGAACACCAGUAGCGAAGGCGAUUUUCUGGAACAUAACUGACGCUGAGGCAUGAAAGCGUGGGGAGCAAACAGGAUUAGAAACCCCUGUAGUCC